AAAAUAGGUAUUACUAUAACAAGUGGGAUAGAAGCGCCGAGAGAGAUCUGGUUAAUUAGCAAAGCCAUAUGACACAAUUGUGACUCAAAUGCGAUGCCUGUGAUUCAAUCACUAUUGCGUUUUCUGUUUUAGUUACCCGCCAGGUGCAGCAGACAGAUCCAAUUAGCCACCAACACGCGACCCACAAAAAAAAUAGCGGAAAACGACACCUUAGAAAAUGAAUUGUUCGAUGCGGAUUAUCGGAAAAUUCCCACUCAUCACUUUCUUGGCUUUGAAUGUGGCAAACUAUCUACACAGUAUUUCCAAGCUAUCUUUAAGAUACUUCCAUAUGGGUUUCCCCACAUCACCAACUUGGUGCAGCAGAUGACUUACCUUCGUAAUUGACCUGACCGUCGCCAUCGAUAUCAGCCUCCCGGAUCAUCUCAUCGACCUCCUCGUCUGUGAGUUUCUCGCCCAGAUUUGUCAUCACGUGACGCAACUCGGCCGCCGAGAUGAAGCCGUUGCCGUCCUUGUCGAACACUCUGAAGGCUU